GCGAAGCUUUUCAGUAGUUUACUACAGAAAAUGACUGAGCGGCGAACGGGUGAGUAACGCGUGAGCAAUCUACCUUAGUUACAGGGAUAGCCCGAGGAAACUCGGAUUAAUACCUGAUAUUCUUUAAAUUUCGCAUGAAAUUAAAAGGAAAGGUCAGCCGAACUAAAAUGAGCUCGCGUUCUAUCAGCUAGUUGGUGAGGUAAAAGCUCACCAAGGCUACGACGGAUAGCUGGUCUGAGAGGACGAUCAGCCACACUGGGACUGAGACACGGCCCAGACUCCUACGGGAGGCUGCAGCAGGGAAUAUUGCGCAAUGAGCGAAAGCUUGACGCAGCGACACCGCGUGUGGGAUGACGGAUCUAGGUUUGUAAACCACUUUCAGGAGGGAAGAAAGUGACGGUACCUCCACAAGAAGCCCCGGCCAACUACGUGCCAGCAGCCGCGGUAAUACGUAGGGGGCGAGCGUUGUCCGGAUUUAUUGGGCGUAAAGAGCUCGUAGGCGGUUCAACAAGUCGGUCGUGAAAGUUCAGGGCUCAACCCUGAAAUGUCGAUCGAUACUGUUGUGACUAGGAUACGGUAGAGGUGAGUGGAAUUCCGAGUGUAGCGGUGAAAUGCGUAGAUAUUCGGAGGAACACCAAUUGCGAAGGCAGCUCACUGGGCCGCUAUCGACGCUGAGGAGCGAAAGCUAGG
rnacentral:rRNA from 1 species